UCAAAGAGCGCCAGAACCGCCGGACGGCGGUUGACGAGGAGAAGGGUGAUCGAAGAUUCGGCGGAUGCCCUUCCGCACAGACCGGGUGCGAUACGCGGCCACAAAGACGCGCGGCAACGCGCGAACAAAGG
rnacentral:ncRNA from 1 species